AAUGGAAUGGCUGAUAAAAGUAAUAAAUUGUAAAUUUAUAAAUGAUUAAAUUUAAUCUUCCAUUA
rnacentral:tRNA from 1 species